rnacentral:rRNA from 1 species
GAUGAACGCUGGCGGCGUGCCUAAUACAUGCAAGUCGAGCGAACAGACGAGGAGCUUGCUCCUCUGACGUUAGCGGCGGACGGGUGAGUAACACGUGGAUAACCUACCUAUAAGACUGGGAUAACUUCGGGAAACCGGAGCUAAUACCGGAUAACAUGUUGAACCGCAUGGUUCAACAGUGAAAGACGGUCUUGCUGUCACUUAUAGAUGGAUCCGCGCCGCAUUAGCUAGUUGGUAAGGUAACGGCUUACCAAGGCAACGAUGCGUAGCCGACCUGAGAGGGUGAUCGGCCACACUGGAACUGAGACACGUUCCAGACUCCUACGGGAGGCAGCAGUAGGGAAUCUUCCGCAAUGGGCGAAAGCCUGACGGGGCAACGCCGCGUGAGUGAAGAAGGUCUUCGGAUCGUAAAACUCUGUUAUUAGGGAAGAACAAAUGUGUAAGUAACUAUGCACGUCUUGACGGUACCUAAUCAGAAAGCCACGGCUAACUACGUG